UUGGAGGGCAAGUCUGGUGCCAGCAGCCGCGGUAAUUCCAGCUCCAAUAGCAUAUAUUAAAGUUGUUGCAGUUAAAAAGCUCGUAGUUGAAUUUCGGGGUUCUACCGUUGGUCGGGCAAUUGUCUGUACUGGCGUGUGGAAUUUCUACCUUCUGGGGAACCAUUAUGUUAUUAAUUUAGCGUGGUGGGAAACCAGGACCUUUACCUUGAAAAAAUUAGAGUGUUCAAAGCAGGCUUACGUCUGAAUACAUUAGCAUGGAAUAAUAAAAUAGGACGGUGGUCCUGUUUUGUUGGUUUCUGAAUCACCGUAAUGAUUAAUAGGGAUAGUUGGGGGCAUUAGUAUUCAAUUGUCAGAGGUGAAAUUCUUGGAUUUAUUGAAGACUAACUUCUGCGAAAGCAUUUGCCAAGGAUGUUUUCAUUAAUCAAGAACGAAAGUUAGGGGAUCGAAGACGAUCAGAUACCGUCGUAGCCUUAACCAUAAACUAUGCCGACUAGGGAUCGGACGAUGUUAAUUUUUCUUGACUCGUUCGGCGCCUUACGGGAAACCAAAGUGUUUGGGUUC
rnacentral:rRNA from 1 species